GACGUAGGGCGCGAGCGUUGUCCGGAUUUAUUGGGCGUAAAGAGCUCGUAGGCGGCUUGUCGCGUCGUCCGUGAAAACCUGCGGCUCAACUGCAGGCUGGCGGUCGAUACGGGCAGGCUGGAGUUCGGUAGGGGAGACUGGAAUUCCUGGUGUAGCGGUGAAAUGCGCAGAUAUCAGGAAGAACACCCGUGGCGAAGGCGGUUCUCUGGGACGGUACUGACGCUGAGACGCGAAAGCGUGGGGAGCGAACAGG
rnacentral:rRNA from 1 species